GAUGAACGCUGGCGGCGUGCCUAAUACAUGCAAGUCGAGCGAACAGACGAGGAGCUUGCUCCUCUGACGUUAGCGGCGGACGGGUGAGUAACACGUGGAUAACCUACCUAUAAGACUGGGAUAACUUCGGGAAACCGGAGCUAAUACCGGAUAAUAUAUUGAACCGCAUGGUUCAAUAGUGAAAGACGGUUUUGCUGUCACUUAUAGAUGGAUCCGCGCCGCAUUAGCUAGUUGGUAAGGUAACGGCUUACCAAGGCAACGAUGCGUAGCCGACCUGAGAGGGUGAUCGGCCACACUGGAACUGAGACACGGUCCAGACUCCUACGGGAGGCAGCAGUAGGGAAUCUUCGGCAAUGGGCGAAAGCCUGACGGAGCAACGCCGCGUGAGUGAUGAAGGUCUUCGGAUCGUAAAACUCUGUUAUUAGGGAAGAACAAAUGUGUAAGUAACUAUGCACGUCUUGACGGUACCUAAUCAGAAAGCCACGGCUAACUACGUG
rnacentral:rRNA from 1 species